UACGUAGGGGGCAAGCGUUGUCCGGAAUCAUUGGGCGUAAAGGGCUCGUAGGCGGUUUGUCGCGUCGGGAGUGAAAACCCAGGGCUUAACUCUGGGCUUGCUUUCGAUACGGGCAGACUAGAGGCAUGCAGGGGAGAACGGAAUUCCUGGUGUAGCGGUGAAAUGCGCAGAUAUCAGGAAGAACACCCGUGGCGAAAGCGGCUCUCUGGAACGGUACUGACGCUGAGACGCGAAAGCGUGGGGAGCGAACAGG
rnacentral:rRNA from 1 species